rnacentral:rRNA from 1 species
AGUACGAGAGGAACGAGGGCUCGGGGCCACUAGUUUACCAGUUGUCUGACAAGGCAAUGCUGGGUAGCCACGCCCUGAAGGAUAAGAGCUGAAAGCAUCUAAGCUCGAAGCCACCCCAAAGACGAGACACCUCAGAACACUCGUAAAAGACGAGAUUAAUAGAAUGCGGAUGUAAGUACGAAGCUUCGGCGACGUAUUCAGUCCAGCAUCACUAACGUUCGAGCAUCUUUUUUC